AUGAACGCUAGCGACAGGCUUAACACAUGCAAGUCGAGGGGCAGCAUGAUUUGUAGCAAUACAGAUUGAUGGCGACCGGCGCACGGGUGAGUAACGCGUAUGCAACUUACCUAUCAGAGGGGGAUAGCCCGGCGAAAGUCGGAUUAAUACCCCAUAAAACAGGGGUCCCGCAUGGGAAUAUUUGUUAAAGAUUCAUCGCUGAUAGAUAGGCAUGCGUUCCAUUAGGCAGUUGGCGGGGUAACGGCCCACCAAACCGACGAUGGAUAGGGGUUCUGAGAGGAAGGUCCCCCACAUUGGUACUGAGACACGGACCAAACUCCUACGGGAGGCAGCAGUGAGGAAUAUUGGUCAAUGGCCGAGAGGCUGAACCAGCCAAGUCGCGUGAAGGAAGAAGGAUCUAUGGUUUGUAAACUUCUUUUAUAGGGGAAUAAAGUGGAGGACGUGUCCUUUUUUGUAUGUACCCUAUGAAUAAGCAUCGGCUAACUCCGUGCCAGCAGCCGCGGUAAUACGGAGGAUGCGAGCGUUAUCCGGAUUUAUUGGGUUUAAAGGGUGCGUAGGUGGUGAUUUAAGUCAGCGGUGAAAGUUUGUGGCUCAACCAUAAAAUUGCCGUUGAAACUGGGUUACUUGAGUGUGUUUGAGGUAGGCGGAAUGCGUGGUGUAGCGGUGAAAUGCAUAGAUAUCACGCAGAACUCCGAUUGCGAAGGCAGCUUACUAAACCAUAACUGACACUGAAGCACGAAAGCGUGGGGAUCAAACAGGAUUAGAUACUCUGGUAGUCCACGCAGUAAACGAUGAUUACUAGGAGUUUGCGAUACAAUGUAAGCUCUACAGCGAAAGCGUUAAGUAAUCCACCUGGGGAGUACGCCGGCAACGGUGAAACUCAAAGGAAUUGACGGGGGCCCGCACAAGCGGAGGAACAUGUGGUUUAAUUCGAUGAUACGCGAGGAACCUUACCCGGGUUUGAACGUAGUCUGACCGGAGUGGAAACACUCUUUCUAGCAAUAGCAGAUUACGAGGUGCUGCAUGGUUGUCGUCAGCUCGUGCCGUGAGGUGUCGGCUUAAGUGCCAUAACGAGCGCAACCCUUAUCACUAGUUACUAACAGGUGAAGCUGAGGACUCUGGUGAGACUGCCAGCGUAAGCUGUGAGGAAGGUGGGGAUGACGUCAAAUCAGCACGGCCCUUACAUCCGGGGCGACACACGUGUUACAAUGGCAUGGACAAAGGGCAGCUACCUGGUGACAGGAUGCUAAUCUCCAAACCAUGUCUCAGUUCGGAUUGGAGUCUGCAACUCGACUCCGUGAAGCUGGAUUCGCUAGUAAUCGCGCAUCAGCCAUGGCGCGGUGAAUACGUUCCCGGGCCUUGUACACACCGCCCGUCAAGCCAUGGGAGCCGGGGGUACCUGAAGUCCGUAACCGCAAGGAUCGGCCUAGGGUAAAACUGGUGACUGGGGCU
rnacentral:rRNA from 1 species